UGUUGAUUGAAUUGAGAUUCAGCACUGCGGUAUACAUUCAAAUGCCAGAGUGACAGCUGCAUUGAUGGAUCUUAAUGGUUGUGUGGUAAAACAUACUGAAUGACAGCCUUAAUUUGACAAUAUAAACUAAACUAUUGUGCAUUGUGGUGCUAGAGAGGAGAGGCUACCAGCACAUCACUCUCAAGAUGAGUCUUCACCACUCAUCCUCCUACCCUGUAGCUGUGCAUUGUGGAUCUAGAGAGGAGAGGUUACCAGCACAUCACUCUCAAGAUGAGUCUUCACCACUCAUCCUCCUAGUCUGUAGAUGUGCAUUGUGGCGCUAGAGAGGAGAGGUUACCAGCACAUCACUCUCAAGAUGAGUCUUCACCACUCAUCCUCCUAGUCUAUAGCUGUGCAUUAGGGGUGCAACAUUACGGUGUAAAUCAAAUAAUUACAAAAUACAUAUAAAGCUAAAACGAUUUUUGGGGAAAAAAAGAUAAAUAAAAAACCACUUACCUGCAUCUUGUAGCUUCCCACGAGCGCCUGUUCAAGAAUUCCAUGACAUACUGGGGGCAAAAAAGAUCCAAAACGACAAAAUACGUUUCAGAACUAGUCUCAUGAGAUCUAGUCCCCAUUUAUUAGAUGUAUAUUGACAUGUUACAAGAUUAAUCAUUUCUCUUAUGUUGCUAUUAUCCCAAGCCUGCCUUGGUCUGGAGGGAGCCCCCUUUCUCUUAGCAGAGUGACCACACUAUCUUCAAACCAUCAAUUCAAAAGAAAUCUUCACUAUCGUUGGUCUGUAUUCGAGAUGCAGCCCCAUGGAAACAGAUCCUCGCUGAAAGUAAAGGGCAAACGGAAGAAGCAAGGGGUCAACCACUAGAGGAAUCCAGACUAGAUCUUCAGUGAGAUUGUGAUCAAGCAGAUGUGUCCGAUGAGCCGCUGUGAAAGAUGCCAGUUUAUAGCUUUGUACCACAUGGAAGCGGGACUCUGUUUGGUGAAGAGCGCUUUCCUCUGUGCACAAGCUCGUUGUUGUUCCAGGAGACUCGACACUGCUGACCCGAGGACUGAACGAGCCUGCGACCCCACGCCCUGUCCCACCCAUAUUUAUAGUCUUCACCCCACAAUGCAUAUAUAUAUAUAUAUAUAUAU